GUCCCUGUGGUGCAGUUGGUCAACAUGUUCAGCUGUUAACCAAAAGGUUGGUGGUUCGAGCCCACCCAGGGACG